AACAGGAUUAGAUACCCUGGUAGUCCACGCCGUAAACGAUGUCGACUUGGAGGUUGUGCCCUUGAGGCGUGGCUUCCGGAGCUAACGCGUUAAGUCGACCGCCUGGGGAGUACGGCCGCAAGGUUAAAACUCAAAUGAAUUGACGGGGGCCCGCACAAGCGGUGGAGCAUGUGGUUUAAUUCGAUGCAACGCGAAGAACCUUACCUACUCUUGACAUCCAGAGAACUUAGCAGAGAUGCUUUGGUGCCUUCGGGAACUCUGAGACAGGUGCUGCAUGGCUGUCGUCAGCUCGUGUUGUGAAAUGUUGGGUUAAGUCCCGCAACGAGCGCAACCCUUAUCCUUUGUUGCCAGCGGUUAGGCCGGGAACUCAAAGGAGACUGCCAGUGAUAAACUGGAGGAAGGUGGGGAUGACGUCAAGUCAUCAUGGCCCUUACGAGUAGGGCUACACACGUGCUACAAUGGCGCAUACAAAGAGAAGCGACCUCGCGAGAGCAAGCGGACCUCAUAAAGUGCGUCGUAGUCCGGAUUGGAGUCUGCAACUCGACUCCAUGAAGUCGGAAUCGCUAGUAAUCGUGGAUCAGAAUGCCACGGUGAAUACGUUCCCGGGCCUUGUACACACCGCCCGUCACACCAUGGGAGUGGGUUGCAAAAGAAGUAGGUAGCUUAACCUUCGGGAGGGCGCUUACCGCUUUGUGAUUCAUGACUGGGGUGAAGUCGUAACAAGGUAACC
rnacentral:rRNA from 1 species